rnacentral:misc_RNA from 1 species
CGGACAUCUUAAAGAACAUACAAAUCGAGGCUCAUGACUUGAAUUUUGACAAAAUCACAUCUGUAAAUUCAACCAACAGCAACAAUAAGCUCUACAGCACAUCACAGAAACUGGCCUUAAGAACUCGCAGAUGAAGAUGCAUCCUACAUGCAUCCCUUUGUAAAUUUUGCUUAACCACAAUCUCCAUGAGAAAGCAGAAAUGCCCAAAUAACAUUCUCAUGCCACGACCCAGUAACACUUCAAUUGUGCCCAAAGA